rnacentral:rRNA from 1 species
GUAUUAACUAGUUGGUAGGGUAACGGCCUACCAAGGUGAUGAUACGUAGCCGAGUUGAGAGACUGAUCGGCCACAAUGGGACUGAGACACAGCCCAUACUCCUACGGGAGGCAGCAGUAGGGAAUCUUCCACAAUGGGCGCAAGCCUGAUGGAGCAACGCCGCGUGAAUGAAGAAGGUCUUCGGAUCGUAAAAUUCUGUUGUUAGAGAAGAAUAUGAGUAAUAGUAACUGAUUAUUCACUGACGGUAUCUAACCAGCAAGUCACGGCUAACUACGUGCCAGCAGCCGCGGUAAUACGUAGGUGGCAAGCGUUGUCCGGAUUUAUUGGGCGUAAAGGGAACGCAGGCGGUUUUUUAAGUCUGAUGUGAAAGCCUUCGGCUUAACCGGAGAUGUGCAUUGGAAACUGGAAGACUUGAGUGCAGAAGAGGAGAGUGGAACUCCGUGUGUAGCGGUGAAAUGCGUAGAUAUAUGGAAGAACACCAGCGGCGAAAGCGGCUCUCUGGUCUGUAACUGACGCUGAGGUUCGAAAGCAUGGGUAGCGAACAGGAUUAGAUACCCUGGUAGUCCAUGCCGUAAACGAUGAAUGCUAGGUGUUGGAGGGUUUCCGCCCUUCAGUGCCGCAGCUAACGCA